CCUACGGGAGGCAGCAGUGGGGAAUAUUGGGCAAUGGGGGAAAGCCUGAUGCAGCAAUGCCGCGUGAAUGAAGGAGGUCUUAGGAUUGUAAAAUUCUGUCCUAUGGGAAGAAAAAAAUGACGGUACCAUAAGAGGAAGCCCCGGCUAACUACGUGCCAGCAGCCGCGGUAAUACGUAGGGGGCGAGCGUUGUCCGGCAUUAUUGGGCGUAAAGAGGGCGUAGGCGGCACUACAAGUCUCAUGUGAAAGACCCGGGCUUAACUUGGGGGUUGCAUGGGAAACUGUAGAGCUAGAGUACAGGAGGGGCAAGCGGAAUUCCUGGUGUAGCAGUGAAAUGCGUAGAUAUUGGGAGGAACACGAGUGGCGAAGGCGGGUUGCUGGACUGUAACUGACGCUGAGGCUCGAAGGCGUGGGGAGCAAACGGGAUUAGAUACCCUUGUAGUC
rnacentral:rRNA from 1 species